rnacentral:rRNA from 1 species
AAAACAUCGCCUCUUGUAAAAGAAGAAAAAUAAGAGGUCCCGCCUGCCCUGUGACUAUAUGUUUAACGGCCGCGGUAUUUUGACCGUGCGAAGGUAGCGCAAUCACUUGUCUUUUAAAUGGAGACCUGUAUGAAUGGCAAGACGAAGGCUUAACUGUCUCCUUUUCCAAGUCAAUGAAAUUGAUCUUCCCGUGCAGAAGCGGGUAUGACCACAUAAGACCGAGAAGACCCUAUGGAGCUUCAGACACUAAGGUAGACCAUACCCUCUGUAUCUAUACAAAAACAACACAAGCCUAAUGGUACCUCCCCUAAUGUCUUUGGUUGGGGCGACCAUGGGGAAAUAAAAAACCCCCACAUGGAACGGGCACACAGUUCCUAUAAACAAGAGCCACAGCUCUAGUUAUCAGUAUUUUUGACCAAAAGAGAUCCGGCAACGCCGAUUAAUGAACCAAGUUACCCUAGGGAUAACAGCGCAAUCCCCUUUAAGAGUCCAUAUCGACAAGGGGGUUUACGACCUCGAUGUUGGAUCAGGACAUCCUAAUGGUGCAGCCGCUAUUAAGGGUUCGUUGUUCAACGAUUAAUAGUCCUACGUGAUCUGA